GAUGAACGCUGACAGAAUGCUUAACACAUGCAAGUCGACUGGAAUUCUUCUUCGGAAGAUAGUACGGUGGCGGACGGGUGAGUAACGCGUAAAGAAUUUGCCCUUCAGACCGGGACAACUAACCGAAAGGUUAGCUAAUACCGGAUAUUAUGAGACCUUGGCAUCAAGAACUUAUGAAAGCUAUAUGCGCUGAAGGAGAACUUUGCGUCCCAUUAGGUAGUUGGUAGGGGUAAUGGCCUACCAAGCCGACGAUGGGUAGCCGGCCUGAGAGGGUGAACGGCCACAAGGGGACUGAGACACGGCCCUUACUCCUACGGGAGGCAGCAGUGGGGAAUAUUGGACAAUGGACCAAAAGUCUGAUCCAGCAAUUCUGUGUGCACGAUGAAGGUCUUCGGAUUGUAAAGUGCUUUCAGGUGGGAAGAAGAAAGUGACGGUACCACCAGAAGAAGCGACGGCUAAAUACGUG
rnacentral:rRNA from 1 species